UGGGGAAUAUUGGACAAUGGGCGAAAGCCUGAUCCAGCCAUGCCGCGUGAGUGACGAAGGCCUUAGGGUUGUAAAACUCUUUCGUCGGGGACGAUAAUGACGGUACCCGAAGAAGAAGCUCCGGCUAACUUCGUGCCAGCAGCCGCGGUAAUACGAAGGGAGCUAGCGUUGUUCGGAAUCACUGGGCGUAAAGCGCACGUAGGCGGAUAGUUAAGUCAGGGGUGAAAUCCUGGGGCUCAACCCCAGAACUGCCUUUGAUACUGGCUGUCUCGAGGUCGAGAGAGGUUGGUGGAAUUCCUAGUGUAGAGGUGAAAUUCGUAGAUAUUAGGAAGAACACCAGUGGCGAAGGCGGCCAACUGGCUCGAUACUGACGCUGAGGUGCGAAAGCGUGGGGAGCAAACAGGAUUAGAUACCCAAGUAGUCCCUGAGCGGGCUGGCAAGGCGCAU
rnacentral:rRNA from 1 species